AGUGAACGCUGGCGGUAGGCCUAACACAUGCAAGUCGAACGGCCGCCCAUUAAGUGCUUGCUCUUACCGGUUGCGUGUCGCGUACGGGUGUGCCCUACAUCUGGGUCUACUUUUUCGUGGGUUGUACCGUAGGGAGACUUACGCUAAUACCGCAUACUACCUCCGGGUGAAAGCAGGGCAUCUUCUGACCUUGCGCUUUUUAAUGAUCCGAUGUCCGAUUAGCUAGUUGACGGGGUAAAGGCCCAAGAAGGCGACGAUCCGUAGCUGGUCUGAGAGGAUGAUCAGGCACCUGGGAAGUGAGAAACGGUAGAGACACCGACGGGAGGAAGCAGUGGGGAAUAUUAGAGAAUGGGGGAAAGCCUGAUACAGGAAUACCGCGUGAGUGAAGAAGGACUUAGGGUGGUAAAGCGAUUUUGUUGGGAAAGAAAAGAAGCAGGUUAAUACCCCGCUGUUAUGACGGUACCGAAAGAAUAAGCACCGGCUAACUUCGUG
rnacentral:rRNA from 1 species